UGUUGAGGAAGAUAAUGACGGUACUCAACAAGGAAGUGACGGCUAACUACGUGCCAGCAGCCGCGGUAAAACGUAGGUCACAAGCGUUGUCCGGAAUUACUGGGUGUAAAGGGAGCGCAGGCGGGAAGACAAGUUGGAAGUGAAAUCCAUGGGCUCAACCCAUGAACUGCUUUCAAAACUGUUUUUCUUGAGUAGUGCAGAGGUAGGCGGAAUUCCCGGUGUAGCGGUGGAAUGCGUAGAUAUCGGGAGGAACACCAGUGGCGAAGGCGGCCUACUGGGCACCAACUGACGCUGAGGCUCGAAAGUGUGGGUAGCAAACAGGAUUAGAUACCCUGGUAGUCCACACCGUAAACGAUGAUUACUAGGUGUUGGAGGAUUGACCCCUUCAGUGCCGCAGUUAACACAAUAAGUAAUCCACCUGGGGAGUACGACCGCAAGGUUGAAACUCAAAGGAAUUGACGGGGGCCCGCACAAGCAGUGGAGUAUGUGGUUUAAUUCGACGCAACGCGAAGAACCUUACCAAGUCUUGACAUCCCUUGACGAUGCUGGAAACAGUAUUUCUCUUCGGAGCAAGGAGACAGGUGGUGCAUGGUUGUCGUCAGCUCGUGUCGUGAGAUGUUGGGUUAAGUCCCGCAACGAGCGCAACCCUUAUGGUCAGUUACUACGCAAGAGGACUCUGGCCRGACUGCG
rnacentral:rRNA from 1 species